rnacentral:pre_miRNA from 1 species
CCCUUAAAGUGCUAUAGGCAGCACAUCAUGGGUUACAUGGUGGGAGCGCGCUGCGAAUCAUUAUUUGCUGCUUUAGAAAUUUAAGGG